rnacentral:lncRNA from 1 species
UGUGGGAGAUGGUGAUAAUAGGCAUGAUGCUACUAAUGGUGUUCACAGUCAGAAUUUACAAGAGAGGAAGAAAUACGUGGCGGAUCAGGAUUCGAUGAACUUAGAGAAAUUUAACAAACCUGACACUUCUGAAACACGUGACGCCCGAAAUAAGGACCGGAAAGAAAUCAAGGAUCUAGGACAUAAUAUGGAGGAUGGAUGUGAAAGAAUUGUUGAGGUUGGAGAGGAAGUACCAGUAGAACCUUUGAGUGCUUCCAGUUUGGGAAUGUGUGGUGGUGUACAAUCACAAAAUGUUGCAUGUGAUAAAGGGGCUGAAGAAACUGUUGCAAAUCUUGCAGAGGAUAAGGGGAAGAUUAAAGAUCAAGGAAAACUGCCACGUGUUGAACAAAAGAUGUCUUCAACCAGUAGUUCUAUGAGUGAAGCUAAUGAUUCAGACUUUGAGGUCGUCUCAUUGAAGAAGGGCCGUGUCAAACGGAAGCUUCCAGAGACAGCAUAUCCUCAGAAGGUUGCUCCUGUCAAUAAAUCAUUAUUCAAGGAGCAUAGCACUGCAGAAAAAAAUGCAAGUAACAUAAGUGAAGAAGUGACAAGCUCCAGGACUUUAAGACAACCACAUACAUCACCUAACUAUGUGUGUAGCAGGAAUCUGUCUUUUCUGGCUGGAAGGCGUAAGCCAUUACGUUGGACAGUUG